rnacentral:rRNA from 1 species
UACGUAGGUGGCUAGCGUUGUCCGGAUUUACUGGGCGUAAAGAGCGCGCAGGCGGUCGUUCAAGUCGAGUGUGAAAGCCCCCGGCUCAACUGGGGAGGGUCAUUCGAUACUGAUCGACUCGAAGGCAGGAGAGGGAAGCGGAAUUCCCGGUGUAGUGGUGAAAUGCGUAGAUAUCGGGAGGAACACCAGUGGCGAAGGCGGCUUUCUGGCCUGUUCUUGACGCUGAGGCGCGAAAGCUAGGGUAGCAAACGGG